rnacentral:rRNA from 1 species
CCUACGGGAGGCUGCAGUGAGGAAUAUUGGUCAAUGGACGGAAGCCUGAACCAGCCAAGUAGCGUGCAGGAUGAAGGCCCUACGGGUCGUAAACUGCUUUUGCACGGGGAUAACACCCUCCACUUGUGGAGGUCUGCAGGUACCGUGCGAAUAAGGGCCGGCUAAUUCCGUGCCAGCAGCCGCGGUAAUACGGAGGGGCCGAGCGUUAUCCGGAUUUAUUGGGCGUAAAGGGAGCGUAGACGGGUGUUCAAGGCUGGUGUGAAAUCCGGGGGCCCAACCCGCGCACUGCAGUGGAAACUGGAUGGCUGGAGUGCAGAAGAGGCAGGCGGAAUUCGUGGUGUAGCGGUGAAAUGCAUAGAUAUCAGGAGGAACCCCGAUUGCGAAGGCAGCUUACUGGGGUGCGACUGACGCUGAGGCUCGAAGGUGUGGGGAGCAAACAGGAUUAGAUACCCCUGUAGUC